UCAAGCCACGUCGAUGCAUCAAUGACCAUUCAUGGUUGUAUCAAAAGGGCCCCCCCUGCCUUUUGAGAAACCGCGGAGCUGGAACAUUAUCAAUCAUCAUGGGACCCUUUGUUAAACUCAUCGUCAGUCUUGUCCUAGGUUAUUACUGUUCGGAUGUACUCCAUGCUUUGCUUCACCACUGAAACUUGUCCUGUUACAAAAGCAUGAAAAGUUUCAUGGUCCUGUAUGCUUUCCUUUCAUAGCUCUACCUAGGCUUUCUAGUUCUAGCAGCUUGUCGGUCGGAAUGCUUCCGAAAUUUGGAGACAAGAUGCUGAGUACUUGAUCAAGUUCUCCUGUCAGGUACUAGAAAAUUGCAACUCUUGCAGGACUUAAAAGAGUUCUAUACCAAGUACGAACAUUUUCUUUAUCUAAAACUAUAAACAACAUAGAAUUCAAAUUUCGAAAAUUACUACUAUAUUCAAGGUUCUUAUCAUCAAGUAAUGCUUCAUGGUGGUGGGUCAAGUAAACAAAUGAGCAUGGUUUUCAUUCAUUUUCAAGGUUUUUAGCCUUUAGGGAAAAAAUGGGAAAAGAGGAAUUAGUUGAGCAAUGGAAUAAGAAUUAGGAAGCCAACUUCUUAGUCCUCUCUCCUCUCCCUACCCUCUAUUUUUAAGCUAUAAGAAAAGAGUUAAAUAGCAUCAAAUCCUGUUCAUUUAUCUUCGGUGAAAAUAGGGAGUAGGGCCAAAAUUUCCUUAAAGAAAAGGAAUUCCCUAUUAAAUUGCAGCAAGUGGAGUAGGGGGUAACUGAAUAGGGGAUUAGGGGAUAUACACAGCUUAUAGGUUUCCGUUCCCCAGCGCAAGAUUCAAGCAGUCCUUCAAAACAAACAAAUUUGAAAGGGUCCUUAGUGGCCCAUAACAGACUAGCAGCCCUAUACAACUAGAUGGGCUAUGAAAAUUUUCUAAGAUAGUAGGCCGUAGCGACUACUACAGUAAAAUGGGCUGGGACAGCUUCAGGCACCUUCUGAAGGCAUUUCCAGGCACCCUAUAAUUGAAAUGCGAUGGGUUUCUAACUCUGGGCUAAUUGAUGUCGGCUAACAUGUAUAAUAAUCUGCCUGGUACAUAUGACUUCUACACAUUCAUAAUGUUGGUUAUGUUCCGAACUUUUUGUUAAAAAAAGAGGAACAGGCCAGGUAGGUUUCAAAUCAAUAAUUUUAUCACUAUUUACUGUAAAUUCUAAUUCCUGCCAUAAUUGAGAAUAGGAAAAAGUAGGCUUUCUUUUGCUAAAAUAACAACAUUUGCUUGCAGCAAUGAGCUAGAGGGUCUGAUAAGAGGCAGCUGGCCAUGUUUCUUCCUUAGUUAUACUGGAAAACUCAUGCCAAUGAGUGUGGAAACUACUGCCAUAUUCAAACAUUCAUCAACCCGUCUGCCAGCUCAAAUCUUAAGCAUUAACCGGCGACAGACAUAAAUUCAAAGGGUUGAGCUGGUAACGAUCUGUAUAAUUGCCAUUGUGUGGAGCCUAAGAGGACACAGCUGCAAUUUGCAAACGGAACGGACAAUGUUUCAAGGGGCAUGCAGAGCCGUUAGGAGAGGGGCUUUAAACGUCAGUUCUAAAUGCUGAUGGACCCCUUGAUUAAGGCAUUGCGUCAAUCGAACACCAUUAGUGCAAAGAAGGAUUCUUCUGCUCCGUACGUCUUCAAGAUAUACGUCGUUUUUCGUCCUUUAUUUCAGGGAUUUAUGGGCGUUUUCAUGGGGCUGAUCCAUUGAAAGUCACACCUCUUGUCAAUAAUAGAAGGGUUCUUUUUCUUCUUUUUAUUCUUCUUCUUCUGGGGAGAUUGGACAAAGGCUCAUAAAUUCCGCAAAAGUUAAAUUAAGUUUGGAUAUGCUAAUGAUAGAACAGUCCGCCUUCUAAGCUGAUGUCAACAUUUUGAGAGCAACUAUUCCUUCAUGAUCUGCUUAAAUGAAAAGCUCCUGC
rnacentral:lncRNA from 1 species